rnacentral:sRNA from 3 species
UAUCUGAAGCCUGACGAGGAUGAGAACCUCCGGGGGCAAGAGGUUCGACUCGAGCGAAGCGAGAGAACGUUGCGUCAGCAACGGCCCGCAGUGGCAAGUCAUCCUCUGUCACCGGCA